CACACAUUCAGAAAGGAUCACACACAAAUGCAUAUGCAGUGACUAGGUUUACACUCAAUAAACCUCACUGGGGUCAUAACUCGACCCCUCAACCAAAUUCGUCUCACCUCUCAUCUUUCCCUUCAACUUAUCUUUCUUCUUGGGACAGUCCUUAAUAAAGUGUCCAGACUUACCACAACUGUAACACCUUUUACCACUAGACUUGUCUCGUCCCUUGCCCUUCUUCUUACUACCCUCAUCACUCGAGUCACUACUCGAAUCACUACCGUCUUGAGUUCUACCCAAAUUCAUUUGCUUAAACUUCAUCCUACUCCUCAUCAUAUGUAACUCGCCACUCCUCUUAUCCUCUUUUUCAGCCUUAAUCUCCAUCUCCUUACUCCUAAGUGAGUCUAUGACAAUCUCGGGUGUUAAGGUAUCCCUACCAUACUUAAUUGCAUUCUUAACUUCCCUAUAUGAAUCAG
rnacentral:lncRNA from 1 species